rnacentral:rRNA from 1 species
GACGAACGCUGGCGGCGUGCUUAACACAUGCAAGUCGAACGGAAAGGCCUCUUUCGGGGGGUACUCGAGUGGCGAACGGGUGAGUAACACGUGAGUAACCUGCCCUUGACUUUGGGAUAACUUCAGGAAACUGGGGCUAAUGCCGGAUAGGAGCUCCUGCUGCAUGGUGGGGGCUGGAAAGUUUCGGCGGUUGGGGAUGGACUCGCGGCUUAUCAGCUUGUUGGUGGGGUAGUGGCUUACCAAGGCUUUGACGGGUAGCCGGCCUGAGAGGGUGACCGGCCACAUUGGGACUGAGAUACGACCCAGACUCCUACGGGAGGCAGCAGUGGGGAAUAUUGCACAAUGGGUGGAAGCCUGAUGCAGCAACGCCGUGUGCGGGAUGACGGCCUUCGGGUUGUAAACCGCUUUCGCUCAUGACGAAGCUUUGUGUGACGGUAGUGGGUAAAGAAGCACCGGCUAACUACGUG